GCGGGACCCAACUUGGGUGGCCGCGCUGCUACCAGCCGGGAAGUUGAGAUCGGCCUUCGACUUCAGAUAGGAAAUCUAAGAGAAGAGAAGCUGCUGUGGAGUCAUGCGCAAUAACAGUAUCGCUUUGGAAGAACCCAGAGAACACAGUUCAAGCUUAUCAAAAGAUCACCAAACAGCUACAGCAGCCCUGGAGCCAGAGUCUCCAGGGUUUAUCAUCUGGUACAUAAAUGCCAUACCACAGCUUUCUCCUUGAAGAGAAGAAUCCUGCCGCCCUUACCUUUAUCCCACUGAAAUCUAGUCUCAAGUUUAGAAAUCAGUCAAUCAGUUAAAACCCAAGUAGGAGCAUGUCUCUGUUGUGCUCACAGCCCUCCAAUUCAAACUAAAAAAACCCAGAGCCUUUACCAUGGCCUUCACAGACUCAUCUGAUCCGGUGCCAGCUUCCUGUCUGACUUUAUUGCACAAGAUCCCUUCCUUGAACAGAUGAAGCAUUCUCCUGCCUCAGGACCUUAGCACUGGCUGUUCCUUUGAACUGCAUUCUCCUUCAGUCACAUGUUUCAUUUUCUUUACGAAAUGAACAAACCAACCCAACUGCCAAAGAUGGCUUUCCUGACAAUUUUAUGUAAAACCAUACCUCUUGGAAACCUCUUAUGCUUUCUUUCCUAAAUGUGCUUUGUCUUCCUAGCACUAACCACCACCUGAUUAUUUGCUAACUUGUUUAUGUUCUGCCUCCUUCACUAGAACUUAAGCUCCACAGAGCAAGGAUUGAUUCUUGUCCAGGUCAUUUACCACUGCAUUUUUGUGCUGGCCAGCACGUAGUAGGUGUUCAAUAGAUUCUUACAGAAUUAAUGAUUCAAGCCUUGCAGUGAAUAAACAGUAU